UUUUAAUUAAUGAGGGUGCUAGAAAUCGCGAUUUAGUUUAUUACUGUUGAUAUACGUACUGGUACUACUGCCUUUCUUUUUAAGGAUAUGAGCAGUGUAAUUAGCUACGACAACGUUCAUAUUCCGUAUUAUAUUAGUGCAAAUAUUUUUUGAUAUACAAACAUCCUCUUUUCUUCAGUAAGGUCUUUUACAGAGAAAAAUAUGAAUGUGUAAAAAAAAAAAAAAAUUAAAAUAUUAGUAUUAAUAAAAUUAGUUGUGAAAAUUUUCGACCAAUCACAGUUUAAUUUUAAAUCUGACAGUCUAUCAUGUUAAUAUCAAAUGAAAAAAAAAAAAAAGAAUUUGUUCCCUAAGAAAAAGAAAACUAGAAAAACACAAGUUUUUGGUUUUCACAUUGUCAAGUGUUAAUUUUCCAAUGAAAAGUCAGAAGGUGGUUAGUUAACUGAGAUUAGAAGUGUAGUGCUAUGCGUUUUCAGAGAUAUCCACAAAAAUCGAGUCCUUUCCAUAAUUGCCUGAAAC
rnacentral:lncRNA from 1 species